AAUUUUCACCAGAAGCAAAUAGUCUAACCGCAAGGAGGGCGUUUGCCACGGUGAGAGUUAUGACUGGGGUGAAGUCGUAACAAGGUAGCCGUAGGUGAACCUGCAGAAGGAUCA
rnacentral:rRNA from 1 species